CUCGAUCACUCCUACGGGAGGCAGCAGUGGGGAAUAUUGCACAAUGGGGGAAACCCUGAUGCAGCCAUGCCGCGUGUGUGAAGAAGGCCUUCGGGUUGUAAAGCACUUUCAGUAGGGAGGAAGGUAGUGUAGUUAACACCUGCAUUAUUUGACGUUACCUACAGAAGAAGCACCGGCUAACUCCGUGCCAGCAGCCGCGGUAAUACGGAGGGUGCGAGCGUUAAUCGGAAUUACUGGGCGUAAAGCGCAUGCAGGCGGCCUGUUAAGUCAGAUGUGAAAGCCCGGGGCUUAACCUCGGAAUUGCAUUUGAAACUGGCAGGCUAGAGUACUGUAGAGGGGGUAGAAUUUCAGGUGUAGCGGUGAAAAUGCGUAGAGAUCUGAAGGAAUACCGGUGGCGAAGGCGGCCCCCUGGACAGAUACUGACACUCAGAUGCGAAAGCGUGGGGAGCAAACAGGAUUAGAUACCCUGGUAG
rnacentral:rRNA from 1 species